rnacentral:lncRNA from 1 species
AAGAGAAAGGGUAGCGGCACUAGGAUUAGGACCUCUUCUAGAUUUGAUAGGAUGUGAAAAAGAGAUCUGUGGAGGAAUAUGAUGUCGUGCUAGGAUUAGUACCUCCCUUAUACUUAUGGAGAAGAAGAAGAGAGAGAGAAAGAGAGAAGCUUGAAGAGAACUUAGAAUUGGCUUGAUUGAAGAAGAUGGAGGUCUUGGGGUUCUAUUUAUAUAGUGGAGAGGCUAG